GUAGAGAAUUAUUUCCUAUAGCUUAUUAUAAAACCGUAGGGGGUUCUCGUUUCAACUUCAAAAUAAAUUAAUUCUUCUAUUAUUUGUUGAGAUUAAGCAAUCGCAGCCACGAACUAGCAGGGCAGCCGCAACCACCGCAGCUACGACGAAUGUAGCCACGACCACCACACCCACCACAUGUUCGUCCGCAGCCACGACCUUGCAGAGCAGCUGCAGCCAUCGCAGCUACGACGAACGCACCCACGAUCACCGCACCCACUACAGCCGCAGCCACGAUCUCGUAGUGCAGCCGCAGCCAUCGCAGCUACGACGAACGCAACCACGACCACCGCACACACCACAUUCGCAGCCACGAUCUCGUAGUGCAGCUGCAGCCACCGCAGCUACGACGAACGCACCCACCACAGGUCUGCUGCACAAGUUUCAGUAUUAAGAGUUGCACAUCCAACUUGGUUCCAUCUUCCUUUUCCUAAUUCUAGAAUGGCAUCUAAGAGUUGUGGCAAGUUGGACACAUUAAAAGAGUUAUAUGAUUGGAUAAUGAAAUGAAGACUUUCAUUACUGAAAGCAUAUCCUCAAAUGGUCCAGCCAGUUGUCUUUUCCGCUUAUUGAUGGUAAUGCGUAAAGGCAACUCUCUUCCAACUCGUUUGUGUCAAAUUUUAUUAGAAAAGUACCAAAUCAAAGUCGAACGCCUAGACUUUUUUUCUUUCUUAGUCAAUGACAUUUGCAUGAACAUCACGCUUGAGGAUGUUCUUUUUUUAACUGAGCUACCCAUUAAUGGGAAACCUAUCAUUCCAGCUUUUAGUCGUGAUGAGGAUGCGUUUUCUAUAUUUGAGUCCAAUACAAAGACCCUUAGACUUGGUGAAUUGAAAAGAAUUGCAUGUGGACAAGGGCCACAAAACCAUAAGAUUUAUGAUGUACUAUUAUUCAUUAUCAAUUGUAUAAUAGUACCAUAAGGGGAUGGACAUUUAUGUCGCCCUACAUAUGUUCAAUUCAUUAAGGAAUUGAACGAUGUAAAUGGUUAUGCUUGGGGGUUGCAUUACUUUCAUUCCUCUAUCAUGGGAUGAAGAAGUAUAGAAAAGGACAUAAGAAAUUUUGUGAUGGCAACAUGUGGGUUCUAUUGGUAAGAAAAAUUCUUUUGUUGAGUUUUUCUUUCUUUUUUAUGAUUUUUGAUAUUUUAACAAGUUGAUGUGUUUUUUUUUUCUUUUAUAGGAUUUUUUUUAUACCACAUUCCAAAAUUGCGGGAAGAGCUUCAAAUUGACCUCCACCAAGUGCAGCCGCCAACACUCUUGUUAUUUUUGGUUGUUGAGGCAUUGCAUAAGAUAGAUGGAGACCACUAUGCAACUUAUGAACAAAAAAUAAUUUCCAUUUUAAACAAUCUCGAAGACAUGGAUAUGGAUUGACACCCAUAUACCAUGGAAAUGUUGCCUGCGCAGCUCCAUGGUCAGAUUCCUUUCAAGACACGUGUAUCCCCAAUGUUUUGCUUUAAUUUUGUGGAACAUCAUCUUCCACAUCUUUCAGCUAAACAAUUUGAAGUGCUUGAGGGGUUAAAUCUGGAUGGGAUUGAAGAUUCUCUUGAAUUGAUCAAAUGCAAGAGUAAGCUAUUUGCGGAGAAUUGCAUUAAUAGACUGUUGUCUAUGGAGUGAGCCUUAAGCCAAAGUUGACUCGACUGAACCUUUAUCAUAAGUUGGCUCAACUCGACAUGACCUUUGUGUUAGUGAAGUGAGAGUAAAGUGAAAAUGAGUGAAAUUUCAAAAUUCUUAUAUUUUUUAUGGUAUUUAAAAUUGUUCUAUUUUCUUCAUUUGAAUACCUUCAAAAUUUCUUAAAUUUAAAUUUCUUUCGAAUUACUUUAUCCAAACAAAUCAUUUUAGUGUAAAGAA